rnacentral:rRNA from 1 species
UACAGGGGGGCAAGCGUUGUUCGGAAUUACUGGGCGUAAAGGGCUCGUAGGCGGCCGGCUAAGUCCGACGUGAAAUCCCCAGGCUUAACCUGGGAACUGCGUCGGAUACUGGCGGGCGUUGGAAUCCGGGAGAGGGAUGCGGAAUUCCAGGUGUAGCGGUGAAAUGCGUAGAUAUCUGGAGGAACACCGGUGGCGAAGGCGGCUACUCGGUCGU